CAGCACCUCAAGUGGUCAGGAUGAUUAUUGGGCCUAAAGCAUCCGUAGCCGGCGCUGUAAGUUUUCGGCUAAAUCUGUACGCUCAACGUACAGGCUGCCGGGAAUACUGCAGCGCUAGGGAGUGGGAGAGGUAGACGGUACUCGGUAGGAAGGGGUAAAAUCCUUUGAUCUCUUGAUGACCACCUGUGGCGAAGGCGGUCUACCAGAACACGUCCGACGGUGAGGGAUGAAAGCUGGGGGAGCAAACCGGAUUAGAUACCCGAGUAGUCC
rnacentral:rRNA from 1 species